GCAAGUGGACCUCAUAAAGUAUGUCGUAGUCCGGAUUGGAGUCUGCAACUCGACUCCAUGAAGUCGGAAUCGCUAGUAAUCGUAGAUCAGAAUGCUACGGUGAAUACGUUCCCAGGCCUUGUACACACCGCCCGUCACACCAUGGGAGUGGGUUGCAAAAGAAGUAGGUAGCUUAACCUUCGGGAGGGCGCUUACCACUUUGUGAUUCAUGACUGGGGUGAAGUCGUAACAAGGUAACCGUAGGGGAACCUGCGGUUGGAUCACCUCCUUA
rnacentral:rRNA from 1 species